CGUCAGGUCCCACGCAAAGGAGCUCUGCGAACCCCGCCAGAUCCGGAAGGAAGCAACGGUAGUGGAAUACUUCUUGUGCCGUGGGUAACCUGACUUUU
rnacentral:SRP_RNA from 1 species